ACCUGCAACCCUGGUCUCUGCACACCAAGCCUUGGGGCAACCACGCUGGUGGCGCCUGUGGGUGAACCGGAGGAGAGCAGGGAGCUGGGGUGCGGAGCUGGGGGAGGGGGGGUGGUGCAGAGUCUUCGGGAGCAGCCCCCACACCUGCCCCCCUGGCUGUGGCGUCUGGGCGUGGGGAGAGCCGCCUGGCGAGGUUGCUGUGACCCGCGCUCUCUGGCGGCCAGACCCCGCUCCCGGCCCAAAUCCGGGCUCCGACAGGUUAUUCCCAAAGUUCUGCAGUUCCAUGUCAUUCUCAAAGAACAGAGCGCAGCCUGGACAUGUGUUUCAGAUAACCGCCAAGUCCUGGGCCGUGAAGAUGUGGCCAGAUUCCUGUUCAAAAAGACUACAACAAUUCACAAUUCCGCCAAAAAUAUGAAAAUCCAUGUCCCUACCAGCGAUGAAUAUCACUCUUUAAUUUUUGGCAGCCUGAAGGGAUACAAACAAUGUUAAAGUGUUGCUUUACUUUGUGUUUUCCUGACAGUCUACGAAUUUGUACAUUUCUUCAUGCAUGUGAGCAUUUGCAUUGCCACCCUGUGAAGUGUCUAUUUAUAUCCUUUGCUCAUUUUUAAAAAUUAGGUCAUUUGUCUUUUUCUUGACAAUCUGUAAGAGCUCUUCAAUAUGACAUAUUGACUUUGUCAUUUGAAUUGCAAAUUUCCAGAUACAUUUUUUGUCCUUUAUAAUUUUUAAUGGAAUCUUUUGCCAUAGAAAAGAUUUUAUUUUUACAUAUCCAAAUAUCUUUAAUUUCUCGCACAGCUUCCAGAGUUCCAGUCCUUGUAGGAUGGUCUCCUCAUUUGUAGAUUGUACAUGCAGUAUCUUAGAUUUUCUUGCAAGCACUUUUAUUAUUUUGUUUUUAACAUUUGAAUAUUUAAUCCAUCUGGUGUUUAUUUUUAUAAAAUGUCUAAGAUAGGAGACUAAUUUUAUUUUCUUCCAGAUGGAUAGCCAGUUGUACCGACAUCAUUCAUUUAUUGAACAUUCCAUCCUUUUCCCAAUGAAUUAAAGUUCAAUCUUUGUCAUCUAUUAUAGUCUCAUAUUGACUGAAAUCAAUUUCUUUGAGUCUAUACUGUCCCACUGAGCUAUUUAUUCCUAUGUCAAUACCAUCUUGAUUUGAUUACAGGGGCUCUAUGGAAUAUUUUUAUAUUGGUGGGACACCACCUGGCAAUGUUAUCAAACUCUUCUUAGUUGUAUUUAGAUAUUUAUUCUUUCAUAGGAACUAUAACAUCAUUUACCAAGGACUUCUACCCUGAACUUCAGAGUAUAAACUUAACCCUAACUUCAACUGUCUUCUUGACAUAUUGGCUUGGAUAUCUAAUAGGCAUCUCAAUUUAACAGUCUCCCCCUCCC